rnacentral:rRNA from 1 species
UGCGCAGGCGGUUAUAUAAGACAGAUGUGAAAUCCCCGGGCUCAACCUGGGAACUGCAUUUGUGACUGUAUAGCUAGAGUACGGUAGAGGGGGAUGGAAUUCCGCGUGUAGCAGUGAAAUGCGUAGAUAUGCGGAGGAACACCGAUGGCGAAGGCAAUCCCCUGGACCUGUACUGACGCUCAUGCACGAAAGCGUGGGGAGCAAACAGGAUUAGAUACCCUGGUAGUCCACGCCCUAAACGAUGUCAACUGGUUGUUGGGAAUUCACUUUCUCAGUAACGAAGCUAACGCGUGAAGUUGACCGCCUGGGGAGUACGGCCGCAAGGUUGAA